AGAGUUUGAUCAUUGCUCAGAUUGAACGCUGGCGGCAGGCCUAACACAUGCAAGUCGAACGGUAACAGGAAGAAGCUUGCUUCUUUGCUGACGAGUGGCGGACGGGUGAGUAAUGUCUGGGAAACUGCCUGAUGGAGGGGGAUAACUACUGGAAACGGUAGCUAAUACCGCAUAACGUCGCAAGACCAAAGAGGGGGACCUUCGGGCCUCUUGCCAUCGGAUGUGCCCAGAUGGGAUUAGCUUGUUGGUGGGGUAACGGCUCACCAAGGCGACGAUCCCUAGCUGGUCUGAGAGGAUGACCAGCCACACUGGAACUGAGACACGGUCCAGACUCCUACGGGAGGCAGCAGUGGGGAAUAUUGCACAAUGGGCGCAAGCCUGAUGCAGCCAUGCCGCGUGUAUGAAGAAGGCCUUCGGGUUGUAAAGUACUUUCAGCGGGGAGGAAGGGUGUAAAGUUAAUACCUUUGCUCAUUGACGUUACCCGCAGAAGAAGCACCGGCUAACUCCGUGCCAGCAGCCGCGGUAAUACGGAGGGUGCAAGCGUUAAUCGGAAUUACUGGGCGUAAAGCGCACGCAGGCGGUUUGUUAAGUCAGAUGUGAAAUCCCCGGGCUCAACCUGGGAACUGCAUCUGAUACUGGCAAGCUUGAGUCUCGUAGAGGGGGGUAGAAUUCCAGGUGUAGCGGUGAAAUGCGUAGAGAUCUGGAGGAAUACCGGUGGCGAAGGCGGCCCCCUGGACGAAGACUGACGCUCAGGUGCGAAAGCGUGGGGAGCAAACAGGAUUAGAUACCCUGGUAGUCCACGCCGUAAACGAUGUCGACUUGGAGGUUGUGCCCUUGAGGCGUGGCUUCCGGAGCUAACGCGUUAAGUCGACCGCCUGGGGAGUACGGCCGCAAGGUUAAAACUCAAAUGAAUUGACGGGGGCCCGCACAAGCGGUGGAGCAUGUGGUUUAAUUCGAUGCAACGCGAAGAACCUUACCUGGUCUUGACAUCCACGGAAGUUUUCAGAGAUGAGAAUGUGCCUUCGGGAACCGUGAGACAGGUGCUGCAUGGCUGUCGUCAGCUCGUGUUGUGAAAUGUUGGGUUAAGUCCCGCAACGAGCGCAACCCUUAUCCUUUGUUGCCAGCGGUCCGGCCGGGAACUCAAAGGAGACUGCCAGUGAUAAACUGGAGGAAGGUGGGGAUGACGUCAAGUCAUCAUGGCCCUUACGACCAGGGCUACACACGUGCUACAAUGGCGCAUACAAAGAGAAGCGACCUCGCGAGAGCAAGCGGACCUCAUAAAGUGCGUCGUAGUCCGGAUUGGAGUCUGCAACUCGACUCCAUGAAGUCGGAAUCGCUAGUAAUCGUGGAUCAGAAUGCCACGGUGAAUACGUUCCCGGGCCUUGUACACACCGCCCGUCACACCAUGGGAGUGGGUUGCAAAAGAAGUAGGUAGCUUAACCUUCGGGAGGGCGCUUACCACUUUGUGAUUCAUGACUGGGGUGAAGUCGUAACAAGGUAACCGUAGGGGAACCUGCGGUUG
rnacentral:rRNA from 1 species